AACGAACGCUGGCGGCAUGCCUAACACAUGCAAGUCGAACGAGACCUUCGGGUCUAGUGGCGCACGGGUGCGUAACGCGUGGGAACCUGCCCUUAGGUUCGGAAUAACUCCCCGAAAGGGGUGCUAAUACCGGAUAAUGUCUUCGGACCAAAGAUUUAUCGCCUUUGGAUGGGCCCGCGUUGGAUUAGCUAGUUGGUAGGGUAAAAGCCUACCAAGGCGACGAUCCAUAGCUGGUCUGAGAGGAUGAUCAGCCACACUGGGACUGAGACACGGCCCAGACUCCUACGGGAGGCAGCAGUGGGGAAUAUUGGACAAUGGGCGAAAGCCUGAUCCAGCAAUGCCGCGUGAGUGAUGAAGGCCUUAGGGUUGUAAAGCUCUUUUACCCGGGAUGAUAAUGACAGUACCGGGAGAAGAAGCCCCGGCUAACUCCGUG
rnacentral:rRNA from 1 species